ACCCCAAACCGUAACUCCUCCAAUGGACUGGACUUUCGCUCUAAACAACCGCUCCCAGUUUCCUCCUUUGUUCUUGGAUUUGCCCAUGGUUCACCAUACUUUACAUUGUUGAAUUGGAAUUCCUCCCCUAUUCCCAAAUAAACUCAUGUUUCUGGUUAAAUAACUAGCUAUUAAUAUUUAUUAAAUUACAAGAUUUUGUAAAGGUCGCUUUGGGGCAAAACAAAACGUGUCACCGUACCAGCUGCAGGAAGAGACGCAGAGCCGGACAAGGCCGUCCGAGCUUAAAGAGCCCAUAAAGCACGUGUGGGCCCGUAGUGGCUGCUCCGCCCAUCUUCCCCUGCGCGGCUUCCACAUCCGGCGCCGGCCAACUCUUGGCGACUCCUGUCCCUGUCCCGCCCACGCCUCCAACUCAGUCUUCGUCCUCCAAUGCCAGGGCGCGCUGCGGCCUCGGGUCUGCGCAGAGAGGCGAGACGAGCCCGCGCUUGCGCAUUCGCUUCUCUUUAGUGAUUGGCUACUGCCUCCUCGGGGCCCGCCAGUCUCAGUUUUCACUUUCUCUUUCUGAGGUUACGGGCUUUACUUCCGGUUUCCCGCGCCCAUCCCCGAGAAAGCAGUCACGUUUCCUCAGGCUGCGGGGCGUCUCCAGGACCACUCCUUCCUCAGCCAGGACGUCGCCUGGCUGACGACCGCGGACGGACCUGCGGUUUCACGAGACCAUCCCGCCGGCGUCUAGCGGCCCACUCCGGCCCGGGCCGCGUUCCUCGCGCCGCUGGCGCUAAGGCCGGGAGAAAAGAUGGGCUGCAAUGUGGAGGGUCCCGCGCGCUUCUGACGAGCCUCUGCAGACCCGGGUCGAGGGCGCCCACCUGAGACCGCUGAGGAGGGAAGUCCCGACAAAAGGCGACUCGGGGGCUUCCUUUCCGGGAAGGCGGCACAGACUGCGGCUAGUUAGCAAGGUACUCAAAUAUCUUGUCACAUUUGGCGGCGGGGGACGGAGAGAAAGGCAGCGCGUGUGUGGAGGACCGGGCUACAUCUACAAGCAUGGGCAAAAAACAGCAAUAAUCGCAAGGUCCCCGGGGCGGCGGCAGCGCAGAGAACAGUUUUUGAGACGGUAUCCUUGAGUUCAGACUCUCUCUUCCAGAGGGCAGUUUCAAUUCUCCAUACUUCUUACUUGGACUCUGCAUCUGAGCAUGGUUUUCAGUACAGUCAAGUGACUUUGGUGAAAAAUGACAUUUUCUUAAAUGAGUACAAAACUUUUUACCAAGAAAAAAAACAAAUAACUAUACUGAGGAAGACCUUAAAGAAACUUACGGAUUUCUUCUGUCUGAAACGGAAAACCAGGCGAAGUUGGUAUGUCAGCGUGGACUCCAUGUUGGCAGCAGUGCUGUUACCACAUUGGGUGACCCAGCAAAAGGUAAGUCUGAAAUAAGCAUCUCUUCUUUACAAGAUGAGGUCGGUUUUAGUUAAUUUCAUAAGAUAAGUAUAUUAAAAGCAAUAUAGUAAUGAUGACUAGUCAUUAGAAUCACAAUUUAAAGAUAUAAAUGAGGUUUGAGUCUAAGACUUCAGGUUUCCUAGUAGGACUUAAAUGAUCAGAACUUUUUUUAAAGGUUGUUUGGACUAGAAAAGAUACAGAAGAUGCCUUUCAAGUGCCAGGAGAUUAGUAUAGUCAUUGCGGCUAGCAAGUGAUCUCUUCCAGACUACCUAAUGGCAGGAGGAAUAGAGAAUAAAACUGACCAAACUUGGCAACUAUGGAAUGUGAGGAGGAAGAGAAAGGAAGUAAUCAAAAGGUUUUAAACUUACACACCAAUGAUAUUAUUAGUAGAGUAGAGACAACCAGAGGAGAAUGGUAGGAGGGCUAAUAAGCUAAAAGAGAAAGGUGAUCUUGUGGUUAAGAAUGUGGAUUAGCACUGCAUGUCUUUAAGCUUCAGUUUCCUCCACUGUAAAAUGAACUGUUAUCUAGGUUUGUUGUGUGGAUUACAUGAGACUAUAUAUUAGCCUCAGUAAUACACUAACACUAACAUGUAAUACUAUAUUACAUUAGCCCAGAAUGUAAACCUAUUAAACCCUCAGUAAAUGGGCACUACUACCUUCAUGAGUUAAAUUUGAAAAAUUGUGAGUUUUUCUUAAGUGUUUCUGAAAGAUAACCUGGUGGUGGUAAAAAAUAGUAGGAAAAGGGAUUAGGACUGGAGAUUUGAGGCUCAAAGGUGGUGGCAGUGGGGUGUGUGUUAGUGAAGCCAAAAAUUCUGUUACUUGAAACAGUGUAAAAGGAAAAGAUGGCAAAGAAUAGAGCUUUGGGAUCAUUAUGGGAGUAAAGGGUGGGGAGAUGGGGAGAUGGAUAGAGGGAGAAAGAGUUGAGAACAGUCCCGCUGAUGAAGAAUCAGGACGUGAUUUUACAGAAAGCAGAAGAACCAAAGGAAGGGUAUUAGUGGCAGAUGCAGAAUUUGGAGAAGAGGACUGCGAGACUGGGCUUUAUUGCUAGAUUCCUGCUGACUUUUUUUUUUCAACUACAGCUUUGUAGAGACAAAAUUCACAUACCAUACAAUUCACCCAUUUACAGUGUACAAUUUCAGUGUUUUUUAGUGUAUUCACAAGGUUGUGCAAGCAUCACCACUGUCAAUUUUAAACUCUUUUCAUCACCCAAAGAAACACCGUAUGUCAGCAGUGACUCCUCAUGCCUCACAACCACCAACCUAGGCAGCCGCUAAUCUACUUUUUGCCUGUAUGGAUUUGCCUGUAGUUGAAAUCAUCUGUAAUUUUUUGUGACUUAUGUCUUAUACUUAGUGUUUUUGAGGUUCAUCCAUGUUGUAGUAUGUACCAGUACUUAUUCCCUUUUGGGCUGAAUGAUAUAUCAUUGUAUGUUUAUACUGCAUUUUCUUUAUCCAUUCAGCAGCUGGUGGGCAUUUGGUUGUUUCUACUUUUGAAUUAUGAAAAUGCUGCAAUGUACAUUCAUGUACAAAUUUUUGUGUAGACUAGUGUUUUUAUUUCUUUUGGAUGCAUACCUAGGAGUAGAAUUGCUGGGUCUUACAGUAGCUCUCUGUUAAAACAAAAGUUUUUUAAAACAUACUUUCAGCUCUUUUAAAGACAUGGCAAUGGGAUAAUAAAUUCAUAACCCAAAUAACACUUUCACAUAAAAUCUUGUUUCCUUUUCCCCUUUUCUUUUCCUCCCCCCCCCAUUUCAUUAUGGUUAGUGCUAACAUAGAAAAAGCAGAGAGCAGAGUAUAAUCACUUAUCACCUGGGUCUACCAGGUAAUUGUUUACAUUAUUCUCUUCAUUUGUUUAGAUCAUAAUUAUUUUGUUUUCACCAACAAAUUUGUAAGUAAAUUACAAGGAGACACCUCAGCUUACGUCUCUAAAAAAAUCAAGACCAUUUUUCUACAGUACUACAGUCCUGUGAUUUUGUGGUUUAUCUUUGAGAGGCUGACUUCAGUAGGGUGGUGGAGUAGAAGCUGGACUGUUCCUGAUGAACACACAUGCUUCUUAAACACUAGCCUGGGACUGUUAACAAGAGUUUAAAGACUUGAAAGUUGAAGAUGACUUCUCAUUGAAGGUGAUGCCUGUUUUACCUGCCCUUAACUGUGCCCUGCUAGAAGCACAGAAAUCAUUUACUGAAGAAGGAAUCUGUCCAAACACAUUAGUAAAGCAUAAUUUCCAAGAAUUGUAUAAAGUAGACCAAAGUCCUUCAUUGACUGCUGCUUCUCAGGAUGGACUACAAGAGACUGCUUCCACUGGCCAACUGUCCAGUGGUUUUGACUUGGCUUCUCAGCUGAAAAGUGCCCCUUAUUUAACUCAGUUGAAAUCUUAUUUUUUCAGAUCCUAGUGGGUACAUUUUGGAAAUAUCAACUGCGUUAGAUUUAUUGGCAGAGUGUCCUCAGUCUCCUUUUAUUUCAGUUGAAAUUUGUGAUGCUGGAUUCUCUUUAGUUAUGAUUCCUGAUUCUGAAUUUCUUGACUCGGAGGCAGAAGUAAGAAAAGAAACUGAAAGAGAAAAGAAUUCUGGAGAAAUGUUGAAAGCAAGGCAGGGAACAUUGGUCCAAGUAAGUCCUGCCUCAAAUCUGAGAGUUCAGCCUAAGAGAAAGGCAAGCAUGCUACCCAUGGAGCAGAGCUAAAGGGUGAACUUCCCCAAGAGAACUGCUGGAGCAAGCAAGCGUGUGGACUCCCCAGGCACUCUCAGUUUAGUCAAAGGACACUUUCCUCAGAAAAGAAAAAGAGGGGAGAUACACGCUGAAGCGUCCCCAUCACCUUUGACCUGAGUCACACUGGAUGCUGCAGAUGCCCUUCUAUGGGUUUCGACAUACCCUGCGGAGGGGUUGUUCUCGACACACUCCUCAUGGAGCCCGGGCAAACCCUGCAGCUCGGCUGGACUGGUGGCCUGCUGGAAAGGGGCUAUGGUGGCUCGAAUACAGUUGAACCACUGCUGCUUGUGGAACACAUCAUUGGCUUGCAGAGUGUGAGACUGGUCUGAAGAGGGGUCUUGGAAGCCAACUCCAAAGAUAUUUUUAGCUAAGAAAAAAAUUGGAAAAAAGAAAGGAAAUCAGACUUAAAAACAGUUUGUGUAGAUAAAGUGGUCAUAUAAUCUUGGUGUGGGUGCUGGAAUUUCUAUACAUGUACACUUGUUAGAUGGAUGCAUUAAAUAAAGCCUUGGGACAUUAUUUAUUAGAUGCACCUACUGGUGUCAGAGCACAACUUGAUGACAGCAGCAGCUAUAGGACAAUGGAAUCCUUUCAUUUGUAAUUUUUUGUGUGGAGACACAAUUCUCUUUUAUUUUCCCCAUGCUGUACCUUCAGUCCAUGGCUAAUUUGUAACUGGAAGUUUGCACCUGUUUAUUCCCUUUACCUAUUUUGCCUACUACCCCACCCCACCAUGGCAACCACCUAUUCUUUGUCUGAAUGAGCCUAUUUCUGUUUUGUCUGUUUUUCAGAUGCUGUAUGAUGGAAGUGAAAUCAUAUGCUAUUUGUUUUUCUCUUUUUUCACUUAGCACAAUAUCCUCUGGGUCCAUCCAUGCUGUCACAAAUGGCAAGAUUUAAUUCUUUUUUAUGGCUGAGUUAUUGCCCAUGUAUCCACAUCUUCCUCAUUCAUUUAUCUAUUGAUGGACACAUAUCUUGGCCAUUGUAAAUAGUGCUGCAGUUUACAUAGGGGUACACAUAUCUUUGAAUUAGUGUUUCUGUUUUCUUCAGUUAAGUAUCCAGAGGUGGAGUUACUGAGUAAUAUGGUAUUCCUCUCUGUAAGUGAUUGAGGAACCUCCAUACUGUUUCCAUGGAGGCUGCACCAAUUUACAUUCUCGCCAGCAGUGCACCACAAUCUUCCCCAUACUUGUUAUUUGUUUGUUUUUUAAUACUAGCCAUUCUGACUAGUGUAAAGUGGUAUCUCAUGUGGUUUUGAUUUGCACAUCCCUGAUGAUUAGUGAUGCGGAACAUCUUUUCAUGUGUCUGUUGGCCAUCUGUACAUCUUCAGAAAAUGUCCAUUCAGGUUCUCAUUUUUUAAAUCAGGUUUUUUUGGGGGUGUUGAAUUGUGUGAAUUUUUUAAUGUAUCCUAUAUUUUAAUCUCAGAAUUUUUAAAGAUUAAAACUAAAUGUACUUAAGUUCUCAGUUUGUUAAUUUAAAAAAUUUUACAAUUUGUAUCUUUACCUAUAUGUGAA